rnacentral:rRNA from 1 species
AGGACGAACGCUGGCGGCGUGCUUAACACAUGCAAGUCGAGCGGAAAGGCCCUUCGGGGUACUCGAGCGGCGAACGGGUGAGUAACACGUGAGUAAUCUGCCCCUAGCUCUGGGAUAGCUCCGGGAAACCGGGAUUAAUACUGGAUACGACCACCUUUAGACAUCUUUUGUGGUGGAAAGAAUUUCGGCUAGGGAUGAGCUCGCGGCCUAUCAGCUUGUUGGUGGGUAACGGCCUACCAAGGCGACGACGGGUA